GGGAGGUUAGCUCAGCUGGUUCAGAGCACCUGCCUUACAAGCAGGGGGUCACUGGUUCGAAUCCAGUACUUCCCA
rnacentral:tRNA from 1 species